GUCUGUGGAUGGCUUUUAUCUCUAAACAAUUUCAUAGAAAAUAUGUUCCUGCUUCCCUUACAAAAUAAUAAUUGCCUCUGUAGACCAGGAUUUUCUAGAUAAUACAGAAUCAUUUCUGAGUUGCCUUUUCUCCUCCAUCAUCCUGCUUCUUUUGACAUGCUUGCUAAUGGAAAAAAGAAAAAACAGAUUUUUCAUGUUGCUGCUUCAAUACAAAAUGAAUCUUAUA
rnacentral:misc_RNA from 1 species